rnacentral:lncRNA from 1 species
AAGAAGAGAAGAAAGAGAGCGAAGAGAAAAAGAGAGAAGAGAAGAAAAAGGAAAAAGAGAGUAUGUAGUAGAGAGAAAGGAAGAAGAGAGACGAAAAAGAGAGAGAAGAGAAGAGGAAAAGAAAAGAAAAGAAGAAAAGAAGAAAGAAGAGGAAAAUAAAGAGAAUGAACUAUUGCUACUAAAUCUCACUCCUACUCUUACCAUUACCAUAGAACCUAAAAGGGAAGGGUUCUCAUUUUUUACUUUUUUUCAACUUAUCAUGCACUCUUCCAUUAUUCAUUUUUCUUUACAAAUAAUUGUCAUUCCAUAUUUUAUGCAAUCCUUUUCAAAAUAUGGUAAUUCAAAACUUCAGUUAAUGUUACAUUUGUGUACACAAGUAACUCAAGAAAAAAAUCAAAUAACUUGGGCAUAUGGAAUUCUCCAUUUUUCCAAGGCUAAUUUUUAGAAAAUCUUUUUCAGAAAUACAAGAUUUUUUUGUCUUCUUAUCUUUGCUUACAUCUUCUUCAUACUCAUUUUUGCUAUCUUUUGUAGAUAUAUUUUUGAUCGAGGAGGAAAACAAACACCAAAGUUUUGCUUCUUUCUUUCUUCCCGC